ACCACCUGCCCCCGGCCCGGCCCCGUCUUGCCACUCGAGUAAAACAAGAGAGUACCACCACGGCCUUGACUGCGUGACCAUAUCCAGUCCACACUCCAAGUCCAAGUCAUCCCCCCAGUCCUCCUCGGCCUCUCCUCCUCAUCCAUCCGGGAUCCGGCCGCGACCGGUUGGUGCAAUGGGCUCCGGCACGCACCCCUACCCGGCCCCGUCCAUCCCUCCUCGGCUACCUCUUUUGCUUCCUUAUUUAAACCCCUACCAGCUGGUGCCAAUUUCGUCCUCAGAGCACACGAACUCCUUCCUCACCAAGCCACCGGGCCAGAGAGAGCGAGCAAGCAGCUAGUAUACCUCUGCUGCAAGUCCGCAAUGUCGACUAGCUGCCGCGCUCCGGCCAACCGCUGCAUCUGCAAGACGCCGUCGGGGAACCCGCUGCCGCGGCGGGGCCAGGUCAAGGAGAGCAUCGCCAAGCACAUCGUGGCGGCCGCCGUGGCCACGGCGUCGGUGCUCGUCUGCGACGCCGACGCGGGCGGCAAGAAAGGCGGGGCCAAGCCGCCCGCCCCGCCCGCCGGUGCCAAGAAGAAAUGAGAAGCCGAAUUGCUUGUCCGAGUGUCCGAUAAUUUAUGUGAUCACCACCUUGACGUGACGUCUAUCGCUGUCUCGUGCGUGCAUGCAAGGAUAACUUUCACUCCUCACGGCACUUGUCUUGUUGUUCUGCUAUGUUUUGUUCUCGUUGUUCCGUCGUCAGGGAUGUACGUACUAGGGAGAGGUCGGCAAGUAUUAUCGCCUGAUCUUGUUAUAUGUAAUGUGUGUGUACGGCAUAUACAGUGUUUUGGUGGUUCC